GAUGAACGCUGGCGGCGUGCUUAACACAUGCAAGUCGAACGAUGAAGCCCAGCCUGCUGGGCGGAUUAGUGGCGAACGGGUGAGUAACACGUGAGUAACCUGCCCUUGACUCUGGGAUAAGCCCGGGAAACUGGGUCUAAUACCGGAUAGGAGCGCCUGUCGCAUGACGGGUGCUGGAAAGAUUUUUCGGUCAUGGAUGGACUCGCGGCCUAUCAGCUUGUUGGUGAGGUAACGGCUCACCAAGGCGACGACGGGUAGCCGGCCUGAGAGGGUGACCGGCCACACUGGGACUGAGACACGGCCCAGACUCCUACGGGAGGCAGCAGUGGGGAAUAUUGCACAAUGGGCGGAAGCCUGAUGCAGCGACGCCGCGUGAGGGAUGACGGGCCCUUCGGGUUGUAAACCUUCUUUCAAGUAAGGGAAAGA
rnacentral:rRNA from 1 species